rnacentral:tRNA from 1 species
AUGGCAUAGCUCAGUGGUAGAGCAUUUGACUGCAGAUUAAGAGGUCACCGGUUCGAUCCUGGUUGUGCCCUA